GAUGAAGAACGCAGCGAAAUGCGAUAAGUAGUGUGAAUUGCAGAAUUCAGUGAAUCAUCGAAUCUUUGAACGCACAUUGCGCUCUCUGGUAUUCCGGGGAGCAUGCCUGUUUGAGUAUCAGUAAAUUCCUCAUACCUCUCCUUUUUGGAAGUAUGGAUGUGAGUUAUCCCAGGCGGAGGCAAAAACCUCGGCGACUGGGUGACUUGAAAUGUAUGGUUUGGCUGGACUCUUAAGAUACUGGCGGCCGAAAAGCGCGACAAGAACUGAGCUGGCUGUGGCCUGUGAAAAAGUUUAAAAAUCCGCUGACCUCGGAGCUAGUAGUACAUCUAAAGAGUUAGCCUUCUCAACUUUAGUACGCAGGUGUGCCUCGGGGCACGUCUGUGAACUUGAUCUCAAAUCAGGCAAGACUACCCGCUGAACUUAAGCAUAUCAAUAAGCGGAGGA
rnacentral:misc_RNA from 1 species